GACGAACGCUGGCGGCGUGCUUAACACAUGCAAGUCGAACGGAAAGGCCCUGCUAUUGUGGGGUGCUCGAGUGGCGAAAGGGGGAGUAACACGAGAGUAAGCUGCCCUUGACUUUGGGAUAACUUCAGGAAACUGGGGCUAAUAGCGGAUAGGAGCUCCUGCUGCAUGAUGGGGGUUGGAAAGUUUGGGCGGUUGGGGAUGGAGUCGAGGGAUAGCAGCUUGUUGGGGGGGUAGCGGCUUACCAAGGCUUUGAGGGGUAGGCGGCCUUAGGGGGGGACCGGCCACCUUGGUACUGAGAUACGGCCCAGACUCCUACGGGAGGCAGCAGUGGGGAAUAUUGCACAGUGGGCGGAAGCCUGAUGCAGCAACGCCGCGUGCGGGAUGACGGCCUUCGGGUUGUAAACCGCUUUCGCCUGUGACGAAGCGUGAGUGACGGUAAUGGGUAAAGAAGCACCGGCUAACUACGUG
rnacentral:rRNA from 1 species